rnacentral:rRNA from 1 species
CGGGGAAAAGUAGCUUGCUACUUAACCUAGCGGCGGACGGGUGAGUAAUACUUAGGAAUCUGCCUAUUAGUGGGGGACAACAUUUCGAAAGGAAUGCUAAUACCGCAUACGUCCUACGGGAGAAAGCAGGGGAUCACUUGUGACCUUGCGCUAAUAGAUGAGCCUAAGUCGGAUUAGCUAGUUGGUGGGGUAAAGGCCUACCAAGGCGACGAUCUGUAGCGGGUCUGAGAGGAUGAUCCGCCACACUGGGACUGAGACACGGCCCAGACUCCUACGGGAGGCAGCAGUGGGGAAUAUUGGACAAUGGGGGGAACCCUGAUCCAGCCAUGCCGCGUGUGUGAAGAAGGCCUUUUGGUUGUAAAGCACUUUAAGCGAGGAGGAGGCUACUCUAGUUAAUACCUAGGGAUAGUGGACGUUACUCGCAGAAUAAGCACCGGCUAACUCUGUGCCAGCAGCCGCGGUAAUACAGAGGGUGCGAGCGUUAAUCGGAUUUACUGGGCGUAAAGCGUGCGUAGGUGGCCAAUUAAGUCAAAUGUGAAAUCCCCGAGCUUAACUUGGGAAUUGCAUUCGAUACUGGUUGGCUAGAGUAUGGGAGAGGAUGGUAGAAUUCCAGGCGUAGCGGUGAAAUGCGUAGAGAUCUGGAGGAAUACCGAUGGCGAAGGCAGCCAUCUGGCCUAAUACUGACACUGAGGUACGAAAGCAUGGGGAGCAAACAGGAUUAGAUACCCUGGUAGUCCACGCCGUAAACGAUGUCUACUAGCCGUUGGGGUCUUUGAGACUUUAGUGGCGCAGCUAACGCGAUAAGUAGACCGCCUGGGGAGUACGGUCGCAAGACUAAAACCCAAAUGAAUUGACGGGGGCCCGCACAAGCGGUGGAGCAUGUGGUUUAAUUCGAUGCAACGCGAGAA